UACAGAGGUCUCAAGCGUUGUUCGGAUUCAUUGGGCGUAAAGGGUGCGUAGGCGGCGCGGUAAGUCGGGUGUGAAAUCUUGGAGCUUAACUCCGAAACUGCAUUCGAUACUGCCGUGCUUGAGGACUGGAGAGGAGACUGGAAUUUACGGUGUAGCGGUGAAAUGCGUAGAUAUCGUAAGGAAGACCAGUGGCGAAGGCGGGUCUCGUG
rnacentral:rRNA from 1 species